CCUACGGGGGGCAGCAGUGGGGGAUAUUGCACAAUGGGGGAAACCCUGAUGCAGCGACGCCGCGUGGGUGAAGAAGUAUUUCGGUAUGUAAAGCCCUAUCAGCAGGGAAGACAGAAGACGGUACCUGACUAAGAAGCCCCGGCUAACUACGUGCCAGCAGCCGCGGUAAUACGGAGGGGGCGAGCGUUAUCCGGAUUCACUGGGUGUAAAGGGAGCGUAGACGGCCGUGCAAGCCAGGGGUGAAAGCCCGGGGACCAACCCCGGGACUGCGAUUGUAACUGUGCGGCUAGAGUGCGGGAGGGGCAGGCGGAAUUCCUGGUGUAGCGGUGAAAUGCGGAGAGAUCAGGAGGAACACAGGCGGCGAAGGCGGCCUGCUGGACCGCGACUGACACUGAGGCACGAAAGCGUGGGGAGCAAACAGGAUUAGAUACCCUUGUAGUC
rnacentral:rRNA from 1 species